CUGGUUGAUCCUGCCAGUAGUGAUAUGCUUGUCUCAAAGAUUAAGCCAUGCAUGUCUAAGCACACGCCGAUAAAUGGCAAAGCCGCGAAUGGCUCAUUACAACAGCCAUAGUUUAUUAGAUCUUACUUUCCUACAUGGAUAACUGUGGUAAUUCUAGAGCUAAUACAUGCCUUGAAGCCGAAACCUUACGGAAUCGGCGCAUUUAUUAGAUCAAAACCAAUCGGACUUCGGUCCGCUCUUUGGUGAAUCUGAAUAACUCAGCCGAUCGCACGGUCCUCGAACCGGCGACGUAUCUUUCAAAUGUCUGCCUUAUCAACUUUCGAUGGUAGUUUAUGCGCCUACCAUGGUUGUAACGGGUAACGGAGAAUAAGGGUUCGAUACCGGAGAGGGAGCCUGAGAAACGGCUACCACAUCCAAGGAAGGCAGCAGGCACGCAAAUUACCCACUCCCGGCACGGUGAGGUAGUGACGAAAAAUAACGAGAUGAUUCUCUCAGAGGCUCAUCAUCGGAAUGAGUACAAUUUAAAUCCUUUAACGAGGAUCAAUUGGAGGGCAAGUCUGGU
rnacentral:rRNA from 1 species